UCAGAGAAAAGGAAAGACUUCCUUACCUUUAAUUCCCAAAAUUAAAAUUCUCAAAAUAAACUAUUCUCUG
rnacentral:tRNA from 1 species